UGCGCAGGCGGCCGUGUGUGUGAGGCGUGAAAGCCCGAGGCUCAACCUCGGAAUUGCACCUCAAACUACACGGCUAGAGCAUUGGAGAGGGUAGCGGAAUUCAUGGUGUAGCAGUGAAAUGCGUAGAUAUCAUGAGGAACACCAGAGGCGAAGGCGGCUACCUGGACAAUUGCUGACGCUCAGGCACGAAAGCGUGGGGAGCAAAAGGGAUUAGAUACCCCUGUAGUCCACGCCCUAAACGGUGCACACUAGGUCUUGGAGGAUUCGACCCCUCCAGGGCCCAAGCUAACGCGUUAAGUGUGCCGCCUGAGGACUACGGCCGCAAGGCUAAA
rnacentral:rRNA from 1 species